GCUGAGGGAAGAAUCAUGGGAAAGAGAUUGGGAAGGAGAAAGUCACUUGACUCACAGGCCAACUGCUAUGGACUGAAUUGUGUCUUCCCCUCAUUAAUAUGUUGAAACCCUAUCCUCCCUCCAAUGUGAUGGUAUUUGCAGAUGGGGCUUUUGGGAAGUAAUGAAGUUUAGAUGAGGCAUGAGGGCUGGAUGGAUAUGAUCAGAUGAGUGCCCAAAGAAGAGACACCAGAGAGCUAGCUUCUUCUUUCUCUUUCCACCUUUACACACUGAGAAAAGGCCAAGUGAGCACACACCAAGAAGGCAGCCAUCUGCAAACCCAAGGAGAGAGUCCUCACUAGACACCCUGCUGGUACCUUGAUCUUGGACUUCUAGCCUCCAGAACUGUGAGAAAUAAAUUCCUGUUGUUCAAGCUAGUAUUAAUACCUGGUGUUUUGUUAUGGCAGCCUAAGUGACUAAGACACCAACUUAAUUUACUUAGCCAGGGUCAAUCAGUGGUAGGGCCCAGGAUUCUGACCCAGUUCUGCCUAACUCCACAAUUCAUGCUUUUUCUGGAUAUAAACAUCUGCCUUCCCAGUUUCCCUGACUCUUAGAGCCGUGGAGCAGUGUGUGUCAUGUGCUGCACACCCAGGCUGGAACAGCCUGUCUCCAGGAGAAAACGAAUACAGCAGGGAUGACUUCCACCAGCUCCACUUUGCAGCUCUGAGGUGUAUUAAAAAUGACCUGGAAGAAGUCAUGCCACGGGCCAGACCUUAACAUUCCUUUCGGCUUACCCCAGGAUUUCAGACAAAGCUUCACUUUCCUAACCAGUCACAAAUCAGAGAAUUUUUGAUUCCACCUAUGACCUGUGAGCUCCUGCUUCAAGAUAUUCCACCUUUUUUAGGCCAAACCAAUGUAUAACCUCCAAGUGUCGAUUUACACUUUCGACUGUAACUUCUGCUUUCCUGAGAUUUACCCCUGCCUUUAAAAACCCUUGCUUGUAAUCCCUCAGGGAGGCCGUGUAUUUAUUAAUCAUGAGCUGCCCAAUUCUCCUUGCUUGGUGCCCUGCAAAUAAACACCCUCUUUUCUCCCACUGCAAAA
rnacentral:lncRNA from 1 species